CCCUUAGAUGUUCUGGGCUGCACGCGCGCUACACUGAUGCACUCAACGAGUUUUCGACCUUGCCCGAUAGGGCUGGGUAAUCUUUUUAAAAUGCAUCGUGAUAGGGAUAGAUUAUUGCAAUUAUUAAUCUUGAACGAGGAAUUCCUAGUAAACGCAAAUCAUCAAUUUGCAUUGAUUACGUCCCUGCCCUUUGUACACACCGCCCGUCGCACCUACCGAUUGAAUGGUCCGGUGAAAUCUCGGGAUUGUGGCCAGUUCACUUUAUUGGGAGUUGGCUGCGAGAACUUGCUUAAACCUUAUCAUUUAGAGGAAGGUGAAGUCGUAACA
rnacentral:rRNA from 1 species